GGGGGUGAACGGUUUCGACUCUGGACGUUGAGUCAAGGGAAGCGUGCCGGUGCAGGCGAGAGACCACCGAAAGCGUCAUCGCAAACCAAUAAGCGCCAAGGAUAAUUCCAAGGCCGCUUACGCCCUCGCCGCCUGAGCGAGCGCGUAAGCUGUCGGUCCGGGAACGCCUCCGUCCCGAUCGCCGGCAUCAGCUAGGAGGCUCACCGUCCGGACUUGGCCGCGGGGUCCGGAUGGAAAACUUACAGCGGCUGGGCCCGUCACACCGGCUUGUUCACGUGACCGGCGGGGUCGAGUAGAGACGUAGUGAACUGCGCACGGAGAAGCCUUGUCGAGGCGCCAGAGGACCCGGGUUCAAUUCCCGGCACCUCCACC
rnacentral:tmRNA from 1 species